GUCUGAGUGGCUCAGUUGGUUAGAGCGUUGGUCUCAUAGCAUGACCCGGUGGAUCAACCAUCGGGAGCACCAAUCCAAAGGUCGUGAGUUCGAGUCUCACCUUGGACA